ACCUGUGAGGCAGAGCGUGAAUUUUGAAAUUCCAGAGAACCGCGUGGGAUGAAUUGACGUGACGACCGAAAUGGUGGACAAAGGUAUAUUUUAGCGAUAGAAAACCCCACCAUAUUUUGUUUAUGAUUAUAGGUCUAAAGUAUAUUCGUACGUAUCAACAAAACUAAGGAGUCAAGAGUUGGACACGUUGCCAGAAUCUGCAGGGAGUACAGACAAAUGUGCCGGCUUAUCUUAUUCCAAGACAUGUCGACCGAAAUCUACUUUUCAUGAAGAAGUUUCUUCGUAGGUGUGCAUGGCAUGGUGGAAACCGACUCGGGCGGACGAAUGCGGCUUGUUUCGAAAAGGAUUUUUGAUGUGAUUAGAUGAAGCAACAGAACAUGACCCAUGCGGACGACAGACAACGCUCUGCAAGAUGACAAGUAACUUUUGAUAUACAUCAAAGAAUUAAUAAUACUAAUCUAUUUUUGGUGGAUACAGCAACACAAUUGCAAGACAGGAAAAGUACUGCUGCAGAGGAAGACAAGGAAAAGAAACCUAUUAUAAUUAAUUUUGUCUAAUAUAGGCAAUUUAAUUUAGUUUUAAUUUAGUUAAUUUAAUUUGUCAUGCCUAAUACAAUACAGAAGUUUUGCUAACAUCUUGCUGAAUAUUGUGAUGCCAUAAUCCCGAUGAAAGCGGUUGUAUUAUUUGUUGCGGUUGUAUUAUUUGUUGCAGCAUCAAGACAACAAUUGCUUAAUUCUGAAAAAAAAAUACCCGAUUAUAUUGUACAGAAGAUUACAAACAGACAAGAGAACCAGAAAACUACUAUGAUUACUAGCAGAGCAUUUUAACUAUCUAUAUAAUGAAUUGUUGAUGCCUAAUAAUUUACUUUAUGUAAUUUUGGUUAUGAAGAUAAUAAAAAAUAAAAGUAGUGUGUUGACUUUUCUUUGCUGUUCAAGUUUGAAGACUGGUGGAUGCAGGUAAGUUGUUGCAGCAUCAAGACAACAAUUGCUUCAUUCUGGAAAACUGAUUAUAUUGUACAGAAGAUAUGGACUCACGAAUUACUAAGAGAACCAGAAAACUACUAUAACUUGCAUUUUAACUUUCCAUAUAAUGAAUUGUUGAUGCCUAAUAAUUUUGGUUAUGAAGAUAAUAAAAAAAAAAUCAAUUGUGUUUUGAUGUUUCUUUGCUGUUCAAGUUUGAAGACUGAUGGCUUGACUGAUGGAUGCAGGUAAGAUGAAAAAAGCGCCCUCCAAUAGAAAAAGGCUAACUUUUCCCAUGUCCCUCAAUUUCUAUUGAAAGUGGUGCUGAAGGGCACCCUCCAAUAGAAAUCCAAAAUUUCCAGGGUCUCUAAAAUUAUUUAAAGGGGUCCUGUGUGGUGCUGGAAACCGCCCUCUAUAGCCAUUUUAGUUCAGCGUUUUUGGGUGGUGUCUUCUUUGUCAUUAAUUUAAUUAAUAAAGGUUGUAGUGCCCUCUAAU